rnacentral:rRNA from 1 species
ACGGGGGGCCUACGGGAGGCAGCAGUAGGGAAUCUUCCGCAAUGGGCGAAAGCCUGACGGAGCAACGCCGCGUGAGUGAUGAAGGGUUUCGGCUCGUAAAACUCUGUUAUUAGGGAAGAACAUAUGUGUAAGUAACUGUGCACAUCUUGACGGUACCUAAUCAGAAAGCCACGGCUAACUACGUGCCAGCAGCCGCGGUAAU